CUGACAUUAGCAUUUCACUGUCCCCCACUAGUGGGGGCUAAUAGUAUUGCACCCUCUAUGGCGGUGCAAUAAUAUUAGCCUGCAAUAUCUUUUCCUCUUAGGUUAUGGAACUGCGGUGCGCAAGGCAGUUCAUUUGCAUUAACCUUUUAGCUUAAAUAAGCUAUUAGCUAUUUCUCUUACUUAUAUAUAUUAAAAAUAAACCUUUUUUAAAAAAUAUGUAAAUUUUCUAUACCUAUAUAAUUUUUUUUUUUUUUUUUUUUCAAAGCUGACACGUCAGCUGAAGCAUAUGUCAUACACGCUGGAAAAUGUCAAUAUCUGAUUGGUUGACACAUACCAUCUUGUAUCUAUGCCUGUGACGUAAGGUGAAGAAGUUGCCAGCCAGCAGUGAUGUUUGCAUUUUUUAAAAUCGUUGCUGUGCGAAGCUGACUGGUCAGCAGCAGGAUGCGUCAUAGAAGCGGGAAAAGCACCAUCUCUGAUUGGCUGCCACGUACUACCAAGUCGUGGAAGCUUCUGGAACUUUCUGCUUCCGAGUCUGCUUCGGUCAAGAGGUUAUUGUACUACCGCAGUCCAGGCGAAGGGGUCCGAACGACGCGGAGCAGCCACCUCGCCAACCACAACCAGCCAAUGUAAUUUUUUUUUUUUAAUUUAAACUUUCAAACUUUCUUUUGUGAAGGAGGCGGUAAAAUUGAUCUUUUGACAGUAAAGGUUGCUGACCCCUGUUCUAAUUGUUUUAUUUACCAAAACAAUCUUUUUGUGACACAAAAAGAUAAUUUGUGAAAAUAAUUGUCUUUUUUGCUCUGUGUAUUAAAUGGCCUCUAAUGACCCUGAGCUUUCUGAGCCCUCUGCUGACCCUCAACCUGGUGACCUCAUUGAAAUAUUCAGACAGUUCUUUUUUGUUGUUGUUGUUUAUAGUUGUAAAUAGUUUUUCUUGUAUGUAUGUAUGUAUGUAUGUAUGUAUAUAUUUAAAAUAGUUUCAUUUAUACUAUAGAGACUGUAAUAUGUCACAUUAGAUUAUAGUUUCAAAUAUGUUUCCCUGUAUGUGUAUAGUUAUAAAAGUUUUAUAUUUAUAACAAGUGGAUCAUCAUGGCAAAGCCAUAAUGUUUCACUUGUGAGAGUAAAUCUGUCGGGCCUCACCUUGACACUCACGCAACAACCCUGAGUGCCACAUGGCCAGACAGGACACAUGUAAAUUUUAAAAAAUUUUAUUGCAGAGGCAUCAGAUUCUCAAAUUUAUAGUUUUCUUUAAAUGUUGUAAUUUUAGUUCAUUGUAAACUUUACCUGUAAAAUCCUUGUAGAAAUCUUUAACACGUGUUCAAUAUAUAUUUAAACUGUGA